UCCCAUAACCGCAUACAAAGUUUACUUUGAAUUCAAUGAACCAAACGAAAUUUGCCUGACAAUUAAACAGCUUGAGAUGCCAAAAAGCCAGGGAAGAAAAAGCGAGGAAAAUAUAGCAUUCAUUCCACGGCUGGCAAAGCAGAAGUUUAUGCAUCAAAGUUAGUUGUGUGGCGCCCCAAACUUUGUGCAACGAUUUGGGUAAGCGAUGCGAUCCACAAAAAUUGUGUGCGAGAAAAGAAACGAGAUGCAAAGGAGUAGAAACCAAUUGCAAAGUUUUCGCCAGAAAGAUGAGAAGAUGGGAACUUCGAAAAGGUCCAACCACGAAAUGCAGGCGAGCGUUAACCGAAGAAAAAACGAAAAGAUAAACAAGGAAUGGGCGGGAAACUGCGAAUAGGGGGAGGAAAAUCGAGACGGGGUCUCUUUAAAAAAGCAUAAAUUGUCAUUGACGAGGGGUGGAUUCCGAAGACCCACCACCCACAUCCUUAAGUGUUGUUCUUUGGCAACUAACCCCUAUGAAAGCAAUUGGGGUCGGGGUCGAAAUACGAUAUGUUUACUUAAGAGGAAGAUACGGUGGCCCGAAACAGCUUGCAUAAAUAAGCCAUAAAUGGCUGAUCAACAGCAUUAAGAGCUGAAAAAGGAGCAUUGGGUAUAAAAUAAAGGAAUAUUUAAAUAAACUCGGCGAGGGCAUAAAUCUGCAUGCAAACUAAAUGACAACAUGCGUGGCACGAACAACAAUUGCAUCAUCAAGUCGUGACGUUUGACAAAUGAGCCUUAACCUCCCCAUUUUGCCAAGUAAAAUAUUGCAGCACUAACACACUUGCAAACACACGCAUACAC